rnacentral:tRNA from 1 species
UUAAUUGAAACCAAAAAGAGGUAUAUCAUUGUUAAUGAUAAAAAUGAAAAUUUUUCCAAUUAAA